rnacentral:rRNA from 1 species
CCAAUGUGAACGUUACAAACUGUUGCCUCGGCGGGGUCACGCCCCGGGUGCGUCGCAGCCCCGGAACCAGGCGCCCGCCGGAGGAACCAACCAAACUCUUUCUGUAGUCCCCUCGCGGACGUAUUUCUUACAGCUCUGAGCAAAAAUUCAAAAUGAAUCAAAACUUUCAACAACGGAUCUCUUGGUUCUGGCAUCGAUGAAGAACGCAGCGAAAUGCGAUAAGUAAUGUGAAUUGCAGAAUUCAGUGAAUCAUCGAAUCUUUGAACGCACAUUGCGCCCGCCAGUAUUCUGGCGGGCAUGCCUGUCCGAGCGUCAUUUCAACCCUCGAACCCCUCCGGGGGAUCGGCGUUGGGGAUCGGGACCCCUCACACGGGUGCCGGCCCCGAAAUACAGUGGCGGUCUCGCCGCAGCCUCUCCUGCGCAGUAGUUUGCACAACUCGCACCGGGAGCGCGGCGCGUCCACGUCCGUAAAACACCCAACUUUCUGAAAUGUUGACCUCGGAUCAGGUAGGAAUACCCGCUGAACUUAAGCAUAUCAAUAAGCGGAGGA